UACGAAGGGUGCAAGCGUUACUCGGAAUUACUGGGCGUAAAGCGUGCGUAGGCGGUUUGUUAAGUCCGUUGUGAAAGCCCUGGGCUCAACCUGGGAAUUGCAGUGGAUACUGGCGAGCUAGAGUGCGGUAGAGGAUGGUGGAAUUCCCGGUGUAGCGGUGAAAUGCGUAGAGAUCGGGAGGAACACCCGUGGCGAAGGCGGCCAUCUGGACCGGUAUUGACGCUGAGGCGCGAAAGCCAGGGGAGCAAACGGG
rnacentral:rRNA from 1 species